rnacentral:rRNA from 1 species
GAUGAACGCUGGCGGCGUGCCUAAUACAUGCAAGUCGAGCGAACAGAUGAGAAGCUUGCUCCUCUGACGUUAGCGGCGGACGGGUGAGUAACACGUGGAUAACCUACCUAUAAGACUGGGAUAACUUCGGGAAACCGUAGCUAAUACCGGAUAAUAUAUUGAACCGCAUGGUUCAAUAGUGAAAGACGGUUUUGCUGUCACUUAUAGAUGGAUCCGCGCCGCAUUAGCUAGUUGGUAAGGUAACGGCUUACCAAGGCAACGAUGCGUAGCCGACCUGAGAGGGUGAUCGGCCACACUGGAACUGAGACACGGUCCAGACUCCUACGGGAGGCAGCAGUAGGGAAUCUUCCGCAAUGGGCGAAAGCCUGACGGAGCAACGCCGCGUGAGUGAUGAAGGUCUUCGGAUCGUAAAACUCUGUUAUUAGGGAAGAACAAAUGUGUAAGUAACUGUGCACGUCUUGACGGUACCUAAUCAGAAAGCCACGGCUAACUACGUG